ensembl:snRNA U6 U6 spliceosomal RNA
AUACUUGCCUUGAAAACACAUACACUAAAAUUAUAAUGACACAGAAAGAUUAGCAUGGACGCUGUGCAAGGAAGAUAUAUAAACUUGUGAAGGGCUUCCUAUUUUA